GGGGCUGUAGCUCAGUGGGUAGAGCACUUGCCUAGCAUGCAUGAGACCCUGGGUUCCAUCCCAAUUCCA
rnacentral:tRNA from 1 species